CCAUGAUAACAUUCCAUCAGCAAUAUUGCCAAAUGAAUAUCAUAUUGCACAUAACUUGCUGGGAGGAUGAGUUUUUGAGCCAAUACAUACAUGAAUUGCAUGUAUGAUGUUAACAUCUGUUCUUAGUGUUAUUUACGCAGUAGAAAAUAAUGAUGUACUUGUAAUGAUCCUGAGCUUUUGAGUUUCUCUCUUGCUGCUUAAGAGAGAAAGAGGUUUUGUUUGUAUCUUUGAUCAAGAGGGAGCAUAGUUGUUGAAUAGGAUUAGGACUUCAGAUUGAACUGGUGGAUAACUGGUAAAUUAAUUCAGUCAUGGACCUGGUUGAGUUUUACAUAAUAAUUUAGCUGAAUGAUGAAUUUUUGAAAGCUUUUCAGAAAGAAAAAUUGAUAAUCUGCUAGCAAAUGUAAGGACAAGCAACACAAUCUUGUUUAAUGAGAUUUUUGUUUUAGUAGAAUUAUAACUGUUUUAAAGUGAUUGCUACCAAACAUUGUAAAAAAAAAGAAAGCGAUUCUAC
rnacentral:lncRNA from 1 species